UUCCGGUUGAUCCUGCCGAAGGCUACUGCUAUUGGAGUUCGAUUAAGCCAUGCGAGUCUAAGGGAUCUUCGGAUCCCUGGCGUAAUGCUCAGUAACACGUGGAUAAUCUACCCUCAGGUGGGGCAUAAACCCGGGAAACUGGGGCCAAUUCCCCAUAGAUACAGAUCGCUGGAAUGCUUCUGUAUUCAAAGCUCCGGCGCCUGAGGAUGGGUCUGCGGCCUAUCAGGUUGUAGUCAGGGUCAAGACCUGACUAGCCAGCGACGGGUAUGGGGUGUGAGAGCACUUGCCCAGAGAUGGUUUCUGAGACACGAAACCAGGCCCUACGGGGCGCAGCAGGCGCGAAAACUUCGCAAUGCGGGAAACCGUGACGAGGGAACUCCAAGUGUCUAUGCAUUGCAUAGACUGUUUUUUAGCCUAAAUAGCUAUUAGAGUAAGGGGUGGGCAAGACCGGUGCCAGCCGCCGCGGUAACACCGGCACCUCGAGUGGUAGCCACUAUUAUUGGGCCUAAAGCGUUCGUAGCCGGUUUGGUAAAUUCUUGGGUAAAUCGUACCGCUUAACGGUGCGGAUUCCGGGGACACUACCAGACUUGAGACCGGGGGAGAUCAGAGGUACUUGCGGGGGAGCGGUGAAAUGUUGUAAUCCCGCAGGGACCACCAGUGGCGAAGGCGUCUGAUCAGAACGGCUCUGACGGUGAGGAACGAAACCCUGGGGCGCAAACGGGAUUAGAUACCCCGGUAGUCCAGGGCGUAAACGCUGCUGACUUGGUGUUGGGGAUCCUACGAGGAUGUCCAGUGCUGGCGCGAAGGUAUUAAGUCAGCCGCCUGGGGAGUACGGUCGCAAGACUGAAACUUAAAGGAAUUGGCGGGGGAGCACUGCAACGUGUGGAGCGUGCGGUUUAAUUGGAUUCAACGCCGG
rnacentral:rRNA from 1 species